rnacentral:rRNA from 1 species
AGCAGCCGCGGUAAUUCCAGCUCCAAUAGCGUAUAUUAAAGUUGUUGCAGUUAAAAAGCUCGUAGUUGAAUUUCGGGAUCAAUAUGUUGGUCGUGCCUCGGUACGUACUAGCAUAUUGGUUUCUCCUUUCUGAAGAACCAUGAUGUCAUUUAUUUGGUGUCGUGGGGAAUCAGGACUGUUACUUUGAAAAAAUUAGAGUGUUUAAAGCAGGCUCACGCUUGAAUACAUUAGCAUGGAAUAAUGAAAUAGGACGUUUGAUUCUAUUUUGUUGGUUUCUAGGAUCGACGUAAUGAUUAAUAGGGAUAGUUGGGGGCAUUAGUAUUCAAUUGUCAGAGGUGAAAUUCUUGGAUUUAUUGAAGACUAACUACUGCGAAAGCAUUUGCCAAGGAUGUUUUCAUUAAUCAAGAACGAAAGUUAGGGGAUCGAAGACGAUCAGAUACCGUCGUAGUCUUAACCAUAAACUAUGCCGACUAGGGAUCGGAUGAUGUUAAUUUUUAAUGUACUCAUUCGGC